rnacentral:lncRNA from 1 species
GUGGGAGGGUCUGCCAAAGCUUGCCUUAGACACCAUCAAAAAUGGCCAGAUAAGCAUGCUGCCAAUUAAAAACCACCAAUCUGGUUUACCUUAGACACCAACUGGUUUAAUUAGUUUCGAUUAGAUCAACCUAACAGUUCGUGCUAGAUCACUUAGCCAAAAAUUAAGUCUAUUUGGUUCUUGUUAAAGACAUGGACUUGACCAACUACAAC